GACGAACGCUGGCGGCGUGCUUAACACAUGCAAGUCGAACGAAGUGGCGAACGGGUGAGUAACGCGUGAGUAAUUGCCCCCCUCUCUGGGAUAACCGUUGGAAACGGCUGCUAAUACCGGAUAGUGGGGGAUGACUCGCGUCCUAUCAGCUUGUUGGUUGGGUAAAGGCCUACCAAGGCGACGAUCCGUAACUGGUCUGAGGAGAUGAUCAGUCACACUGGACUGAGACACAGUCCAGACUCCUACGGGAGGCAGCAGUGGGGAAUAUUUCACAAGUGGGGAAACCCUGAUGCAGCAACGCCGAGUGCGGGAUGACGGCCUUCUGGUUGUAAACCGCUUUCAGCCAUGACGCGGUAGUGGCAGAAGAAGCACCGGCUAACUACGUGCCAGCAGCCGCGGUAAUAC
rnacentral:rRNA from 1 species